rnacentral:rRNA from 1 species
UACGUAGGGUGCGAGCGUUAAUCGGAAUUACUGGGCGUAAAGCGUGCGCAGGCGGUUGGUUAAGUCUGAUGUGAAAGCCCCGGGCUCAACUUGGGAAUGGCAUUGGAAACUGGCUGGCUAGAGUGUGGCAGAGGGGGGUGGAAUUCCGCGUGUAGCAGUGAAAUGCGUAGAGAUGCGGAGGAGCACCGAUGGCGAAGGCAGCCCCCUGGGCUGACACUGACGCUCAGGCACGAAAGCGUGGGGAGCAAACAGG